GGCAGGGCUCAGGAAGUCCCGCUACGCUGAUUAACACACACUCUGCUGUUCCUCGCUGUAGGAUGUUCUUUCAAAAAGGCUCUGCUGAGAGUUUUGCCGUUAUUCUUCCCAAAGCUUGCUUGGCGAUGUCGUUCGGCGCGGUCAUUGCUAUGGAAACCGGAUUGUUUGUUAACCAAGUUUAGCAGCUACCAACUGCUCAGUGCUAUGAUACGAGGGAGCGUAAGACACCUGGUGGGAACAAUACGUUGGCAGGGUUUCUUCUUUGCUGAUUCCGAAUGUCCGUUUGGGGUUCCGGGUUCCUGCAGAGCAGAAGACAGAGGCCAACAAGCUGGAGGACGUCAGUAAAACGCACACACAGCUACUAAAUAGAUUCACAUAAUAAGUGGAUUAGCCAUCAACAUGGUGCACAUCCACUUUCUGUUGGAGACUCACUUUUGACAAUUGUGUUUGGGGAUACUUCUGCAGUGGUCGGCUUGGCCAAGGGGACUUUACAGUAAUUACAUGUGACUACAUGUAACAGUCAAUGACAUAUUGGUUUGGGGUUUGUGAGACCCUGUGGUACGGAGACUGGAGCAGACGGGGUUGCAGGCUGUCAUGACCCUGCUGGGCAAAGAGCCUACCAUGAGCAGAAGCCAAGAGACUUUAGGGAUGGAUGAAAAGAGAGUUUGGCAAAGAAACAAGUGAAUACAAAAGUGUUCACAGUGCUCCAAAACUGAAUAGAGCCAAACCAGACGAGUGCAGAUUGUGUUGAGUAAUACUGAAGAAAGGAAAGAUUUAACCAGAAAGAAAGGGAUCACAGAUUGAGAGAGACACCAUUGGUAAGGUUCACUUUCCUCGUGAUAACGGCUUUAUCCAUUUUCAUUGGUUUUUGAAGAUUAUAACAACAAUAACCUCUCUUAAGCUCUUCUGUUGUCAAAUCUUCCUGUGAGGAACUGAAAGAGCUCUUUGUGCACACUCACACUGCAAUAACAUGCCUCAGAAGGAAUUUACAAAACUGAUUAUAUGAAAGCAAUUAGUAGGGUAGUUUUUACAGCUUUUGGCAUACAUUUUGUAUCAGAGACUUCUUACAAGAGGUUUGAACCUAAGCCCGUUUGCGUAUUGUUUUGUUUGUCUUUAGCAACUGCACUACUUUUCCCUCUUGCUCAUCACACUGCUGUGGAGUCUUUUAUUUAGAUAAAUCUACAUCGGGUAAAUCUACGCGGUUUUCUGACCUUAUGUCGCCUUGUGGCUGGCAGGUGAGUCUCUAGGCUAUAGAGCACUAUUGUGUUUUGUGUAUGUUGUUUAGUAUCUCUUAUUUGGGAACAUAAACAGCAUGAGUAUGAGCUGCUGCCUUCAAUUGUCUGUCUGUGAACGAGGUGCAUGUUUGUGUGUGUGUGUGUGUGUGUGUGUGUGUGUGUGUGUGUGUGUGUGUGUGUGUGUGUGUGUGUGUGUGUGUGUGUGUGUUGGAUCUGGAGGCCAAAUUACUGGCAAUUGUGUUGCGCAAUGAGCCUCCAGAGCGAGAAUAACAGAAGGACUUGGUGAGCAGCAUUGCUAUGGCCCAGAGAAGGCAGCAGGAGCUGCGAAGAUGAGAUCUUCAGGGUGUUCAGCUGGUAACAGUAAUUGUUGUUCUAUCUUGGUAGUGUUGAGCACAUUGUAAACAGCAGUAGUGAUACCAGUGAGAUCUGCCUCCCAGGGUUUUGGCGAAUGUAUUGAAGGCAUAGAGCAUAGAAGGCUCAUCAACAACGUAGUAGCACGACAUCUGCGCUGGUCAUCCAGGCUCAUCUCAGCGCACUACAGCAGUCCACGUUAUGUCUUUUUAAGGCAGAUGUCAUGUUCUUUAUGUCAACUAGUCCACAUGUGAAACCCACACCCUGAAUAUAAGGAAUCUAAUUGAAAUGUGUUACAUUUGUGAUGCAUAUAAACCUUAUGCCUUUCCUACGUUUAUAGAUGUUUUUCUAGCCGUGGUUGCAUUUCCGUGUAUAGUUUUUGUACGUGCGUCUGCUGUAGCAGGCGGCUGACAAGGCGACUGGUUCGCUGCUCGCAGCGGGAAGCUGGUGAACACCGUGCAGUCAUCAGAAGUGACGGCCACUGAAGUUUCAAUUAUAAGCCACCACCGUGUUUGUGGACAGUUUGAUGGGCACCUGUUUGCCUUCCCUGUCCAUAUUUAAAGAAGUAAUUGACAAAGGACGGCGUUAAUUUGCAUGUAAUUUUGUGAUUGCAGUAUGUUCAUAUAACAGGCCUUCGCCUAGUGAGCCUCCAUCCUUCUGGUUGAAAUGCUCGCUCACAGCCUUUAAUGCUGGAUAAUUCCGAUUAUAACCCUAUUUUGCAUGAUCAAUCACAUACAUGCACUGGGUUUGUUGAGUUACUUUAGCUCUGCCGGUGCACGAGUCUCGGACUGUUGUAGCUUCCAGGUGUGUGCAUCAUGGAUGAGACGCAGCUCCUUUUAUUCCCAAAGGACUGUAACACAGCUGAAGCCCCGACGGACAUGUAAAAUUUGAGUAGUGAUCCCCCUCAAAGACAUUUCAUUAACGUUGUGCUUCCAAAUAUAUCCCCGGUAAUUUUUAAGGAUUAUAUCUUCCAUAACUGCACUGUCCUCGCCAGCGAAUUUCUUGGUAUCCUUUCGGAGAGGCCGGGUGCGUUUGAUUGCGGCGCCGGUGAGUUUACUGAUACACUAAUCAAUAGACAGGCGUGGUUAUAAGCACUAGAUGAGGCAGAUCCGACGGACGGCCCCGGUGCCAGUCGGCUGGUAGGCUCCAGCUGGAACAACAUCACAGAGCUGCAUAAGCUACCCAGCUUCCAUGCCAUCGUGGCCCCCUUUGAACAGCGCCCCGGAGACCGGGAGCUCCGGUUCGCCGCUGCUGAGCCAAGGAACGCCACACUGGGACGUUUUCCUUUGGUGUUGCAUUCAAAGUAUGAACAAAGACUGUAUAUGACUUGUGUGUAUGUAGUGUGUUGAACCUUCUCAAAACUGCACUUUCCCCUGAAUUCCUUUGUUUCCCUCUCGGUUUAUUUGCUCCGAUGGAAAGAUGGGAAGAAAAACUGUAAUGUGCUCCAGAAGAUGCCGGUAGUUUGCUCUCUGCACGUUCGUCUCCUCUUUCAUUGUUAACAACUUUGCGUCUCUUUGUUCUGUUUUUGACAUUUGACUGUUACCUUAUCUGAUCCUCGCUGCUUCUCCUAUUUUAAAUGGAGAGAAAAUGUAGUUUGUGUAUCCCAUUUGCGUGAUUCCAUUUGGUUGUGGCUCACCCGAGACCUUCCAGCUUGUUGGCUCGUCCAUUUUCACAUUUCUUUCUUUGUCCUCCCUGCAGCCAGCUGAGGCCUCAGGUAUGUAUCACGUCCACGCCCCAUCGCCCCAAAUAGCUGUUGCUUUGUUUCUGCUCCCUGCUCGUCAUUCAGUAGCUUUAUAGUGUUAUUUCCUUCUUCCCCAACUUUUUUUUUUGUUUGACGUACUUAUACAUUGGAGUAUGCAUUUUCUAGUUUUAAUAGGAACCAGAAAUCCACAAGCACACAACAAGUACACAUUAGUAUUAAUAUACACAUUCAAUAUUUGAACAGGAUAUAGCCGCGCAUAAUGCAAGCCCAAUUCUUUCCUGCCAGCUCCCUCGUGGAUGUCUGGGAUGUGCGAGCUGGCGGAGCAGCCUCAUAUGUAGAUUCCUUCUUAACCUUCAAAAUCUGGCUCAGCCGUUUAUCAUAUUUGUGCUAUUUGCUCCACUUCGCCACUGCUAUCAUUAGGCACCGUUUACCAUUGUUAAUAACAAAGGUAGAUUUGGUUUGUUACCCACACACAAAACAACAAACCUCCGGCACUAGAUCCUUGAAUUAUUGAAGGCCACAUGUGUCCGCAGGAUAAUUGCCCCUUUUCAGCCUCUCGGUGACUACUUAGAAGUUGCCAAUAGUCACCACAAUACAUCAGACAUUUUAAAAAUCUCCAUAGAAGUUCCUUGUACACGCCGCUUUGAUUCCCUAGACAUUUAUUACAGUCGGAUAUAAAUCUCACAUCCAAAAGAACAGUUACAGCUGAAGGCAGAAAGAUCUUUUUAUAUUCUGCCCGUAUGAGAUCCCCUUUAGACUAAUGACAGUUGAUGACAAUUUAGUUCAAAUGCAAUAUACUAAGUCCUACUUUCUCUCCAUUUUAUAUGUACUGCUUCCAUCUACUUCCUCCAGCAUAGAUAUAUCGGUCUAUGGUCUGUAUCUUGCGUAUAUAAGUCAGCCCCCCCCAGCGAGGUGAGCGUCUGCUACGUCCGUACCUGGACGAAUACGAUCUGCAUGCAGUCGACCUGAAGAAAGCACAAUGACACUUCAACUGCCUGCUCAAGUUUCUCCCAGGUUGCAGAGUGCCAGCACCACCAAGUGCACGAUACAAUUAUUACAGUUAAAGAACUGCAAAUAUAUAAUAAUAUGUAGAACAUUUUGUGAGAUUGUCAGAAACUGUGUUACAAAUAUUGAACUGUCUAUGACAUGUAUUACAUGCAAUGUAAAAAGCAUGUCCUGUGAUUUCUCAGCCUCAUCUGCCUACACAUACCAGUGUACAUGGUGUGCCAUGUGUAUCUUUAGGUGAUUCUCAGGGGUUAUUUUAUCAAGUGAUUUUUAUGGUUCAUUUCAUUAAAAUACAUCUAAUUAAAGGCUAAUUCUUUUAUAUUCACCACAACUAAGAUAUAACAACACUGAGAUCAUGGCCGCGUCAAAGGCAAAGGCGUUUGUAGUCAAUAUUGAUAUGAUUGACAUGUAUUUGACAUUGGCUCUAUUUCUUCUUUUUUUUAACGGGCUGUUUCUAAGGCCAAAUAGUCAAUACCCAGAAUAACCACUAGUUUUUUUUUUAAGUGGCUCCCUUCAUGAAGCCAAUGCCCAUAUUUGAAAGAUUUCUCCCAGCAAUACUGAGACAUCAAUAUGGUUCAACAACCCUAGCAGAUAGUCAUCAGUUUAAUGAUGUACAGAUACAACCUGUGUUUCUUUAUGGAGAACACUGCGCUUUCAAGUUUUAGGACAGGUCGCCAUUAGAUGAUUAAAACCUGGACCUUGCUUUUAUGAUUCCAUACAGACUCCUGAGUGCUAAGGCUGAUAUUAAAAUAACAAAUGUUCUGUUAGUCCCAGAAAAAGAUCAGAACACUUAACUCACCAUAAAACUCAAAUGGUUUCAUUAUAACUCGCGUUGGUCUCACUCAGGUUCCAUUUAAACAUAUAAUUAACCACAUGUCGCUUGGAUAAAUCUCUAAACUUAUAUCCACUCACAUCAAGCCAGAAAUUACUGUUUGAAAGUUGCCUCAAAGGAUUCAAUUGUGUGUUCUCCAUUAAAAGAAAUGAUAGUGAAAGCAUGGCCUUUAAGGGUGCCUUUAAUGUUAUGUUAGUGUAAUAGUGCGGACAAAUUCAGUGAAUUGUCCAUUGACUUUUAGCGAUGUAAUCUCAUCAUCCAGCUCCUUUUAUAGAGAUGCUUGGGGUCGUUGGGGUAUGACUGUUGUUGUAGACUGUCAGUAUUUUGGAAAUGAUUGUCAAGCGGCUCAGCCUGAACUAUUAUUAGUCCACCGAUUGUAUGCAGCUCAAUGAUCUGGCUCUGCUUUUGUUUCAGGUAUUUAAGCUCUUUGGCAGACCGUUGUGGGAAGAUCUUUCUGUGAGGGCUCCGGUCCGUCCUCCGAAAAACAAUCUCAAUCAUCUUCUUGCUCCAGCAACAGUGUGGGAGCAAAUCUUUGCGUCUGCGUGUCAUAAAAACUGUAGCUCAAUGUGUAUAAUUAUCCUUUGAAACAAAUCGUUUGAGAGGUUUAUGGACGUGUGUUUCAUAUGCUGUCGAGUAGAAAGGAGAAAAACUGCACAUUAAUUGUUGACUGACGGAUGAAAAUGGGAAGCAGCGUGAAAUCGAGUCGGCCAACAUUUAGCAAAGUGGCAGCAGAACAAACGGACGUGGUUGCCAAAGACAUUGAUCAAAAUGUUUCUGUUUGUCGUGAGUGAACAGCUAGCAGCUGAAAUGGGUUCUAUUUUCAUAGGCAGGUUUUCUGUUGGGUUGAAUAGAUAUAACGGAGAUGGAAAGAAAUGAAAGUCCGUUUUGGGGAGAGCUCUUUAGAUCUUUGCAGGUACACAGUGUUCAUUGCAGCGUAUCAGCACUGGGUUGGGUUGACCUAGAGCGAGAGUAAAUUACCGUGACGUGGCGAGACAUUAGCCUGUUCCUCAGCUAAAAUGAUUUGCAAUUGUCAAUUCCUACAGAAGUAUGAGGUCCGAGACGAUUUUCCAGCAUCAAAUUGGGCUUGUCCAACCAAUCAUACAAGAGUAUUUAAUAUGUCAAUGAGAAAACGCAAACCAGUGAUUUUAAGAGAAUACCUUCUACGUAGGGAGGAGCCCUAAAGAUGCAAACCAGCAACAAUAGGCACAUCCGCGGUACCUCUAUGAGGUGCACAGUGAUCUUAACCAGAGCAGGAAUCAGAAAUGACUGCAAAAUGAAAAUAACAAAAGGAGGUAGAAAUGACAGAUGUGUUGUGUGUCUGUUACUGUUUAAGCGCGUGUGUGUGUGUGUGUGUGUGUGUGUGUGUGUGUGUGUGUGUGUGUGUAAAAGCUUCUCCCUGGCAAAGAUGGAGAGGGAUCAAAGGCUUAGCUGUGAUGCAGUCCAGCUGGUAGGACACCUUCUGCUUCAUCUAUGACGCCACCACCGCAGGAGAAGCUUUCCACCUCUGAUAAUGUUCAGAUGGUGCACGUGCACACACUGCAAGCAGCAGCAAGAGGGGUCACACCUCCUGAAGUGAGAAGUGAGACUGCACCUGCUCUCAUGAAGUGGGCGGACUGACGACGGUGCACAAGUGCUGCAACAAUCAAUAACGCUAAGACGGCUUCUGUUUUGGGGAUGUGCGUCGACUGGAAUCCCGACUUGGCUGGUGAGGAGAGAACACAGCCUGCUGUCAGCCUGGGUCAAGGGGCCAGACAAGAUUCUGGCUACACACACGUGUGUGUGUGCGUGUGCGUGCAAGCAACCAGGGGUCAUUCAGGGCAGCUUGAGUUUCUCUUCAAGUGUCUGAGUUGGUCCUCAUUAUCGGCUGCUGCGCGUGAAAGCAGGGGCGCACCCUUCCCCGAAGCCCCCUCGGCAGCGUGGAGCAGAAAUCUGUGCCAGCAACUCCAUCAGUUUGCAUGUUCUGGCUCCCCCGGGUUCCCCCACCGCCGCGCCGCAGUCCUCUGCUCCGGAUGGUCUGACACCGUUAGGAAAUGCGUGUGGCCAUCGGUCACAGAUCCCGAUGAGGGAUGGACGGAUGAGACGCACCCCGCUAACGGGAUUCCAAUGUGAAGGAAUUAAUAAUAGCUACAAUUCGCUUUCACCAGCUUUCACUGACAUUAUGUUCUGUAUGUAACAUUUGGUCCAACCAACAAAUCAACAUGGCGUCGAGCUGUCCUCCUGCUGGAUGUCCAAGGUGACUCCCUCCACACACGGUUCCAUAAGGAUUCCAUCGGACCUCUUUUCUUUCUGAGCCAUUAACUUUCCGCUGUCAUCUGCACUUUCCAUUACAUUUUUCAUUUCUACCGAAACAUUGACUAUUGUUGUCGCUAUUUUUUUUGCAUGUCGCUUUGCGCCUCUCCCCUCCCACGCCUCAAAUCUGCCCUUCAAUGCUUUUACCUGAGCAAUUAAAAAAUCAGAUUUCGACCAUGGUGAAAAGUGUUUUCAUUUGUCACGUUUUUCCCGCUUCAAAGUAGCUGUCAUUGUUUAGCUCUUUACCUCUCACUCACUUCCCUAACAGCUCCUCUGUGCUCACCCACGUUCCUCUCCCCUUUUCCUCGCUGUGCUACUCCGAAACCAACGCACACUUCCGGCUCCUCUUGUCUUUCAUACUGCUUCCCUUUCGUUCCCUCUGUCCACUCUCUCUCUCUCUCUCUCCAUCUCAGCCUCAUCCCUCUCUCCUAGCUCCUCUCUUUCCCCUGUAGACCUCAACCUUUCCCUUGUUGUAGCCCCUCUUACUCCUUUUUACAGUUUGAUUACCUGAUUGGCACGGCAGUGCGUCAUGAACCAAAGCAGUAGGGCAGGCGGUCACCUCCAAAGUGUCGAUAUCUCUCACCUUACGGGCCCAUCCCUUUUCUGGCCACUCAUUGCCACCGUUCACAUAGUUACUCCCCAUUGCUUCCUGUUCAUUCGCACUGCGUGAUGUCAUGCUUUGUAGUUUUGCUGUCUCAUCUGUGUCACCACUUCCUGGUGCGUGCGGGUGGGACAGGCUGGGCACAGGAACCAGAUUUCAAAUUCAAAUUAUAAUUGAACAUACUUCUUAUAUCUGUGGUAUUUUGUAAUACAGGUCCUCACACCCGGGCUUUAACAAUAAAUGGAACCCCCCC
ensembl:lncRNA